ACUCAACCGCAUCAUUGAUGAAGCCAAGCUGCAGGAGAGCAGGCUCGGGGAGCGAGCUGUCCAUCGGGAGAAAGAGAAAAGGCAGUUGGAGGAGUCUCUUGCUGAGAUCAGGGAACAGGAAGAGGAAAUGACCCGUGCAAACCGGGCUCUUAGCACUCGCCUAGAGGAUGUGCAGAGAAACUUGACCACAUUGACUCAAGAGCACCAUGAGCUGCAGGAGCGACUAAAGGAGGAGAGGAAUCAGAAAGAGCAGUUUAAAAACACCAAGAAUGAGAUUGAAGAUGAGAGGAGGCUGCUGGACCGGACUAUGGAGAAACUGCAACGGG